UUGUCACACUCCUACGGGAGGCAGCAGUGGGGAAUAUUGCACAAUGGGGGAAACCCUGAUGCAGCCAUCGCCGCGUGUGUGAAGAAGGCCUUCGGGUUGUAAAGCACUUUCAGUAGGGAGGAAGGUAGUGUAGUUAACACCUGCAUUAUUUGACGUUACCUACAGAAGAAGCACCGGCUAACUCCGUGCCAGCAGCCGCGGUAAUACGGAGGGUGCGAGCGUUAAUCGGAAUUACUGGGCGUAAAGCGCAUGCAGGCGGCCUGUUAAGUCAGAUGUGAAAGCCCCGGGGCUUAACCUCGGAAUUGCAUUUGAAACUGGCAGGCUAGAGUCUUGUAGAGGGGGUAGAAUUUCAGGUGUAGCGGUGAAAUGCGUAGAGAUCUGAAGGAAUACCAGUGGCGAAGGCGGCCCCCUGGACAAAGACUGACGCUCAGAUGCGAAAGCGUGGGGAGCAAACAGGAUUAGAUACCCUGGUAG
rnacentral:rRNA from 1 species